GAGCAUAAAUGGCACGAGUGCCACUGUGCUUGAGAAAAAUUCUUUCAUGUGUGUCUCGCAUUAAAACCAUUGAAAAAAUCAGAGUUUGCUAAAAUACAUCUGCAAAAAUGGAAGGCUGCAUCAAACAUCUCUCAGCGCACAUAGUAACUGUUUUAGUGAAAAUGAUAUUUAGCAGAUGUGACACGCAGCUAGUGGACCAGAGGGUCUAAAACUAUAACAGUUUAAGCUUAUAUUUUAUAUUCUGACGCCGGUGGUCCUUGAAAGGAACAAACAAGAAGAUCCCCUCAAAUUCUUGAGUUGUCUUGCAAAUGAGUCUUUUACGUAAUCUCUGUCCGUUAUUAGAGCGCAUGCACGAAACUUGUAGCCUGCCAUGUAGGCGUUGACAGACGUCGCCAUUCGGAUAGAAGAAAUAUUUAGAAUUCUUGAAUAUUCAUCUUAACCAAUAUCUGAGAAGUGUACUACAUAAAGAUUAAUGAAAAGGGAAAUCUCUCUUUUGCUUGAAAGCGUCGGGACAUCAGUUGAAUUUAAUCUGUAGGAAGUGAAGUUAUUCGUUUUCGCUGCCAUUUCCUAAAAGAAGCCGAGGUCCGGAUAAUCUCUGUUUGAUCUCUCUAAUGAUCUAAAGAUAAAAAAAAUUUUCAAAAACUUUCACUCCUGCAACCUUUUUCAGUUUUGCUCCUCGUUUUUAUGAACAACUCUGCAAAUCAUUUGAUAAUGAGCAAAAGUAGCAAUUCGAUUAACUAUUAAAGGAAAACUUCACGUCAUAUUUUUAUGUAAUUACGCCAGUUCUUCGAUAGGCGCAAAUUUUGAAAGAAAGAAGGCAAUAGAAAUGCAGAAAAGCAACACGUUAAUUAUGCGAAACUUAAGAUAAUCUUCAUUUUGCAGUAAAACAGAUAAUUCUGACUAUUUGAAUUGGCCAUCUGCAAAAUUCUUAAGUUUAUCAAUUAAGAGUGACUAAAUUGAAUAACCAAAUUUAUAAAUCUCGAUAAAAUUGUUGGUACUACUAAAAAGUUCGGAUAGCUUUAUCAAAUUUUUUUUGACAGCAUUUUUCAGGCAAAGGCGUACUUGUAUAGAAAGCUGUUUUUUAACUUAUGAAUCAGAAGAUAUCUUGCUUGAACUUUUAAAGGUAUUAAAGCUUAAAAUAAGUUAGACAAUAGUUUUGAAUUUUGUUCAAGAAACAAGAUACGGGUAAGGUAAAACUUCCGAAACAGACUUUUAGAAACCAGGCUUUUUGUAUCCGAAUUUGACGGUAUAAAGUUUAUGAUUUUGUAAAAUUAUAAAAAAGGUUUGAAAAUUUUUACCUUCUGUCAGAUUUUGACCUGACUUGAGAUUCAUAUCCUUAAUUGUGACUUCCCAAAAUGUUUUUUACGAAACUCGAAACUCUGCGUUCAGUUAUCAAGAAAACAAAUGCUAGCUGAACCAAGUUGGCAAAUAAGACACAAGUUAAUCAUUUUCUUUAACAGUUAUUAUGCUUGAGAAUGUGUAACAUCAAUUUUACCUGCUUAGAUUCGUAAAUUAAAGCUGUUUCAACUCCUAUUCUUCUGCUGAAUCACUAAUGCCGAUACAACAUUUUGUUAAGCCAAAUUGCCACCCCAUCUCCAAAACUGACUUCCUCACUGUGGUUUCUCAAUCAUUUUAUUUAUGUUUGGAUUUCAUGAUACUUUCAAGCGGAAAAGGAAACUCUUCAUAUUUACAAAUGGUCCAGACAAAGUAACUAUCAUCUCAAAUAAGGAUUUAACCGCGGCAUUCGUUCAGUCCUCGUGCCAGGGCAGAUGAUUUCGCGUUUCCAUGCCAAGGCAGAUGACGAGAAACAGUUUCUUUAAAGUUUGAUGCUACAAGACUGCCGUAAGGUUAAGACUGUCGUUGGCAAAGAACCAUUGGCAAGAGGACUUGUGAAGGGUAGAUAUUAAGAAGUCUACUAGGGGCUGCAGAGGCGCUGCAAAAACCAGCCAACGUUGAGAAGAACGGUUUAAAAGGCGUGGCUCAAAAUUUGUUCACCAAUUUGUUACUUUAACACGAGUAACCACAGACUUGACGUAUUCACCUAUUUCAAUUUUAAAGAUGGAAUCUUGGAGUAGACAUGAAUUAAGCUGGCUUUACUGCAUAUCAUUAUUUAUAUUGAUCCCAACAAUUGCAGGUAUGAUUUUUUUAAAUUUAUUCUUUAUGAUUUUUCGCUUUGUAAUACGUUUGUGUAAAUUUCAGCAUUUUGAGCAGAAAAGUUAUAAAAUAUUUCUACAGUUUAAUAAUCGUUAUGAUAGACACCAUCCAUAAAAAAUAUCAUUAUGUUGGCUUGUAAUUAGGCAAAAGCAACAAUAGAUUCAUGACUUCAAACCAUUUUCUGGAUAAGAUUGGAGAGCAGCUUUUUCAAUCCUUGCUACUAAGGUGGAUGGGGGAGGGGCAUAACAGGGGUAUGAAUUUUUCAAGAGACUAUAAUUGGAUGAAAAACUUUUUUCAUAAAAAAGAAUUCAUGCAUAAGUAUCAAUAAACGCUAAGAAUAUGGAAGAUAUUGUGAUUAUUUCUAAUAGCAUAGAAUUAUAAUUUCAUAAUUUUUCGCUUUAAUUAAGCUUUAUAACUUAUUUCUUUCUUCAGCUUGCUUUACUUUUUUUUUCCUUUUAUGUCACUUGACUUCAAAUAAGGCUCUUCCAUUCUUUGGACUGCUUUCUCCGCUUUUAAAAAAAAUUUCCAAUGCACAAGAACAGAAUAUAUAGUCGAGGCCCCUCUCGCAAUUUCAAGGAAAAAGAAACGGAUUUUUUGAAAAUAAUUGGCCUUGUAUACUUCUGCCGUGCUCUGGCUAAUGGGUGAAGUGAUACGCAAUUCAUUCUCGCCUGUUUACAUCUAUACUGCUCGUCUGUUUGGUACUGUUGUUUUUUAUUUACAAAAGCAACCAUCGUCUGGAAACCGUAUAAAUUGCGUAAGAGAAUGUUGCUUUCUUCCACUCUGCUGUUUUUGCCUCUUGGUUGUGUUUUGUUUUUCAGCAAUUUUUCCGUGAAUAGCCAUCUUAGGUAAAUAAACAUCCCAUAACGUUAUUGGUUUUGUAAGAACAUUCUUACGUAAGCGACUAUUGUGCUUGAAGGAUAAACAUUACGUCUGAGAUUUCGGUAGCUAUCUUUAUGGGACUGAUUUUCCUGACACGAUUUGUGUUUUCUAUUAACGUCAUUCCAGAACGCAGAGCCCAGUAAGCACGGUUGUCACACGAUCAAUGACCGUGAAAGAGGCCAACGUAAACAAAACAAAAAAGAUUGCCACACCCAAUGCCCACCCUCUUUCUAAUUUAUCUGCAAGGAAGGUCUUUGGAGCUUAAAGGUUUUGUCCGAAUGAGGGAAAAGCAUUUUCUGGACACUGUUGAGCAGUUUACCUCAGAACGUUCAGUUUUGAAAUUGCCUGAUGAAAUUUCCUUUCACUCCAUCUGUAUUGCGCAGUUGAGCAUGAAUUCUUCUUGAGGAGAAGGAGCAUCGAGAACGGGAAAGGCGUUUACUCGCAGCAUCAGAGAAGAUAAUACAUUGGACUCCAAUCGUUUAGUGCUAUGCAAAAAAGCACACAACGAUGGACCUAUAUCUACUUGUUGGUCAAAUCAUGGCUGCUUCGUGAGACAAAUAUAUGAACAAGGUUCAAAGAAAUCAAAAUUUAUAACGUAUGAUUGCAUCCAAAAUAUUGAGUUGUUUCAACAUUUUAUUACCUGUGGACUGAACUACAAGCCAGGUGGAAGUACGACAUUUCAUUAUGGAAUGGGGAAAGUCCGGGUCUUGUCUCUAUGUUGUGGGAAGACAUUUUGUAACAAGGCAAUACCAACAGUACCUGGCGAAAAUUGGAUCAAUUAACCGUUUGGAUUUACCAUAUUGCCCUGUACCAACUUUAUAAAAACCUGAUGAACUGGUAGUAAGAACCGAUUACCCAAGCUCAAAACAGGGAAUGAACGUCUCUAACGAAGAUAGUUGCUGUGAGUAUUCUUUCAGAUGAACAGAGGCAACUUGUGUAUAUUUAGAUACAGUGAAAGAACAGAACAAACAGGGGACACUUUUCAGCACAUGCGCAGAUACCCUUUUACAAACGACAUUUUAUAUGAAAAUGCGAAGAUAUUAUAUUAUGUGAAGUAUUUUAUAACCAUUUUUGAAAAACCAUCAGUAUUUAUUCAUUUUAUAUAACCAAGUUGAAAAUGUUUCUGAUAUUUAAGAUUCUAAUUUUUUUCUAUUUAUAUCACUUUUUAGAUUGAGACUUCAAUUUCUUUAAACGAUAUCUAUGUCUGAUAAAUUUCUUCACUUAUCAAAGUAAUGCCGCGUAACAUUAAAAUAUUGUUUCAUUGCAAUACAGAGUUGAAUGCUCUCCGCAAGAUACAUUUAAGAAUUUUGCGGUUCGAAUGAUAAGAUAAACUUUUAGAAACAUAUGUUUAUGAACUUUCUUUACAAGUGAAACUUUUUACCGUCGGUUUUCCAGCCUCUUGGCUAAACUUUACCGGGUAUAAUUGCCCCUGCUUCUCUGCUGCCCCCAUUGUCCCUAAUGCUCCCAUCGCU